AAAAUAUUAAAGAGAAUGGGUCCAAGUACAGAUCCCCAACGUACCCCACUGGUAACAAGACCAUGCUUCGAAUAUACUCCAUUGAUUACAACUCUCUGUUGCCUGUCACUCAGCCACUGCCUUACCCAUUCAACAAUAUUGGAAUCCAAACUUAAAGUUGCAGUUUAUUGAUAAGCCUUCUAUGUGCAACAGUGUCAAAAGCCUUACUAAAAUCUAGGUAAGCAAUUUAUACUGCACCAUCCUGAUCUAUUAUUUUAGUUAUCCAAUCAAAAAAAUCAAUUAGAUUAGUUUGGCAUGAUCUCCCUGAAGUAAACCCAUGUUGUCUCUGAUCUUGACAUCCAUGUGAUUUUAGAUGUUAAACAAUCCGAUCCUUUAACAUGGUUUCUAGUACUUUUCCCACUUCUGAAGUAAGUCUUAUUGGCCUGUAGUUACCUGACUCCUCCCUACUUCGUUUCUUGUGAAUUGGCACAACAUUCGCUAAAUAACACUGUCUCCGUCGGGCUGCCUUCUUCCCAUACUGCAUCCUGCUGCCAUCUCUUCAACAGGUAAAUGAUGCACAUGCAUUCGGCAAUCCACCUGAUCUAAAAGAAAAUUUUUAUUCAUCAGACCUUCCCCCAUUUCUCCAUUGUUCAGUUCAGAUGCUCAUAUCCCUAUUGAAGAUGCUUUUGACAAUGGAAAGGGGUCAUCAUGGGCACCCUGACCUAUUUGCAGCUACGCAACCCC